rnacentral:rRNA from 1 species
UACGGAGGGUGCAAGCGUUAUCCGGAUUCACUGGGUUUAAAGGGUGCGUAGGUGGGCAGUUAAGUCAGUGGUGAAAUCUCCGGGCUCAACCCGGAAACUGCCAUUGAUACUAUCUGUCUUGAAUACCGUGGAGGUCAGCGGAAUAUGUCAUGUAGCGGUGAAAUGCUUAGAUAUGACAUAGAACACCAAUUGCGAAGGCAGCUGACUACGCGAAUAUUGACACUGAUGCACGAAAGCGUGGGGAUCAAACAGG